UACGGAGGGCGCAAGCGUUGUUCGGAAUCACUGGGCGUAAAGCGCGUGUAGGCGGCUUGGUAAGUCGGGUGUGAAAGCCCGGAGCUCAACUCCGGAACUGCAUUAGAAACUACCUCGCUCGAGUCCCGGAGAGGGUGGUGGAAUUCCCGGUGUAGAGGUGAAAUUCGUAGAUAUCGGGAGGAACACCAGUGGCGAAGGCGGCCACCUGGACGGUGACUGACGCUGAGACGCGAAAGCGUGGGGAGCAAACAGG
rnacentral:rRNA from 1 species